rnacentral:rRNA from 1 species
CAAUAGCGUAUAUUUAAGUUGCUGCAGUUAAAAAGCUCGUAGUUGGAUUUCGGGUGGGAAUGGCCGGUCCGCCGUUUCGGUGUGCACUUGCUACGCCCACCUUGCUGCCGGGGACGUGCUCUUGAGUUCACGCUCGGGACACGGAGUCGGCGAGGUUACUUUGAGUAAAUUAGAGUGUUCAAAGCAGUCCUACGCUCUGAAUACAUUAGCAUGGAAUAACACGAUAGGACUCUGGCCUAUCUUGUUGGUCUGUAGGACCGGAGUAAUGAUUAAGAGGGACAGUCGGGGGCAUUCGUAUUUCAUUGUCAGAGGUGAAAUUCUUGGAUUUAUGAAAGACGAACUACUGCGAAAGCAUUUGCCAAGGAUGUUUUCAUUAA